rnacentral:rRNA from 1 species
UACGCUGGCGGCACGCCUAAUACAUGCAAGUCGAACGAAGUAGCAAUACUUAGUGGCAGACGGGUGAGUAACAUGUGGGUAUCUUCCCUUUGGUGAGGAAUAACACGAGGAAACUUGUGCUAAUACCUCAUAAGUCUUUACGGAGAAAGCUUUAUGCGCCAAUGGAUGAGCCUGCACUUGAUUAGUUUGUUGGUGGGGUAAUGGCCUACCAAGACUGUGAUCAAUAGCUGAUUUGAGAGGAUGAUCAGCCACAUUGGGACUGAGACACGGCCCAAACUCCUACGGGAGGCAGCAGUAGGGAAUCUUGCACAAUGGAGGAAACUCUGAUGCAGCGAUGCCGCGUGAGUGAAGAAGGCCUUUGGGUUGUAAAGCUCUUUCGUCGGGGAAGAAAAUGACUGUACCCGAAUAAGAAGGUCCGGC